GUGUUCGCUUCUCCAGCACAUAUACUAAAAUUAGAAUGUACAGAGAAGCUUAGCAUGGCCCCUGUGCAAGGAUAACAAAAAAUAAUUUAAAAAUAAUAAAAUAAACU
ensembl:snRNA U6 U6 spliceosomal RNA